rnacentral:rRNA from 1 species
GACGAACGCUGGCGGCGUGCUUAACACAUGCAAGUCGAACGGAAAGGCCUGCUUUCCCUUGUGGAUUGCGGGUACUCGAGUGGCGAACGGGUGAGUAACACGUGAGUGAUCUGCCCCCAACUUGGGUAUAAGCCUGGGAAACUGGGUCUAAUUCCCGAUAGGACUGCAGGGUGGUGCCUGUGGUGGAAAACGAUUUUCUAGUGGUUGGGGAUGAGCUCGCGGCCUAUCAGCUUGUUGGUGGGGUAAUGGCCUACCAAGGCGGCGACGGGUAGCCGGCCUGAGAGGGUGGACGGCCACAUUGGGACUGAGAUACGGCCCAGACUCCUACGGGAGGCAGCAGUGGGGAAUAUUGCACAAUGGGCGGAAGCCUGAUGCAGCGACGCCGCGUGGGGGAUGACGGCCUUCGGGUUGUAAACUCCUUUCGACCGCGAGGAAGCCACCUGGUUGGAAGGGUGGUGACGGUAGUGGGAGAAGAAGCACCGGCUAACUACGUG